rnacentral:rRNA from 1 species
UACGUAGGGGGCGAGCGUUGUCCGGAGUUACUGGGCGUAAAGGGCGUGCAGGCGGUGCGGUAAGUUUAGCGUGACAGUCUCCGGCUUAACUGGAGCAGGCCGCUGAAAACUGCUGGACUUGAGGGCCAGAGAGGGACAUAGAAUUCCGGGUGGAGUGGUGAAAUGCGUAGAUAUCCGGAGGAAUACCAAAGGCGAAGGCAGUGUCCUGGCUGGCAACUGACGCUGAGGCGCGAAAGCUAGGGGAGCGAACAGG